rnacentral:snRNA from 1 species
GUAUUGUUUUGGCUUUGGCUGUGAUGUCUUUGUCACCCCUUUGAUCACCAGAGUUGAUUGGGCUGAUCUGGCUGUUCAGGUGGGUGACCCCUUCCUCCCUCACCUCUCCAUGUGUGUCCCUCCCAAAGCUGCGUACUUGUCUGAAGAGGACGACCUUCCCAGAAUAGAGGAGGACCAGUCUUCAGUCAAGGGUAUAGGAGUUACUGCACUCACCUGCUAGAACCUCCAAACAAGUUCAAGGCACCCCUUUUAAAAAUCUUUUCUCCUCUUCAACCUGUGAUUGAUCCACCUUGUCAAGAUUAAUAUCCACUAAGU